rnacentral:rRNA from 1 species
UACGGAGGGUGCAAGCGUUAUCCGGAUUCACUGGGUUUAAAGGGUGCGUAGGCGGGUUGGUAAGUCCGUGGUGAAAUCUCCAAGCUUAACUUGGAAACUGCCGUGGAUACUAUCAAUCUUGAAUAUCGUGGAGGUAAGCGGAAUAUGUCAUGUAGCGGUGAAAUGCUUAGAUAUGACAUAGAACACCAAUUGCGUAGGCAGCUUACUACACGAUCAUUGACGCUGAGGCACGAAAGCGUCGGGAGCAAACAGG